AGUGAACGCUGGCGGUAGGCCUAACACAUGCAAGUCGAACGGCAGCACAGUAAGAGCUUGCUCUUACGGGUGGCGAGUGGCGGACGGGUGAGGAAUACAUAGGAAUCUACUUUUUCGUGGGGGAUAACGUAGGGAAACUUACGCUAAUACCGCAUACGACCUACGGGUGAAAGCAGGGGAUCUUCGGACCUUGCGCGAUUGAAUGAGCCGAUGUCGGAUUAGCUAGUUGGCGGGGUAAAGGCCCACCAAGGCGACGAUCCGUAGCUGGUCUGAGAGGAUGAUCAGCCACACUGGAACUGAGACACGGUCCAGACUCCUACGGGAGGCAGCAGUGGGGAAUAUUGGACAAAGGGCGCAAGCCUGAUCCAGCCAUACCGCGUGGGUGAAGAAGGCCUUCGGGUUGUAAAGCCCUUUUGUUGGGAAAGAAAAGCAGCAGGUUAAUACCCCGCUGUUCUGACGGUACCCAAAGAAUAAGCACCGGCUAACUUCGUG
rnacentral:rRNA from 1 species